rnacentral:misc_RNA from 1 species
CUUCUCUCUCUCUCUCUCUCUCCAUGCUCUGUUAGAGGGCUUCACCUGUGUUCAUAAAUAAGUGCCCUGAAGACACAGGACCAUGAGAGGUGAGGAAGAGAGAUGAUCAGGUCAACAGAGACACCAACAUCUUCCGUUAACAUCUCAUCAUAAACAGUAGCACCGCCAGCCACUGUAAUAAAAUAAUGCAUCUUUAAGACGACCAAGACAACAUUUUGCAUGGUCUUUCUUCUCUUUCGUCAUCUUCAUUAUUUAUACAUAUAUACAUAUACCGAAUCUAUAGCCAAGACAAGUGUAGAAGAAAUUAAGGAAAGAGAGAUUAGUUUCGGAUAGAGAUGGCGGAAGGAGGAACAACCUUGGAGUAUACUCCUACAUGGGUGGUCGCUGUUGUUUGCACUGUUUUUGUGGUCAUAUCUCUUGCUGUUGAAAGGUUCCUUCACUAUCUUGGCAAGUUGUUGAAGAAAAAAAACCAGAAACCCCUCUUCGAAGCCUUGCAGAAGAUCAAAGAAGAAUUAAUGCUUUUGGGGUUCAUAUCGCUGCUACUGACUGUGUUCCAAGGUAGGAUUACCUCAAUCUGCAUAUCAGAGAAGUUGGCUAAUAAAUGGCUACCUUGCAAGAACAAAUCAGACGCCACUGGUACUGCCCAUUUUAAGGCCUUCUUCUCUUUCUUCCCUGGUGGGUCUGCUCGUCGCCUUCUAGCUGAGUCCUCUGACUCCGCCUCUUCCUGCAGCAAGGGAAAGGUUCCAAUUUUAUCUACAACUGCAUUGCAUCAUCUUCAUAUAUUCAUCUUUGUUCUAGCUGUUGUCCAUGUAGCUUUCUGCGCUCUAACCAUUCUUUUUGGAGGUGCUAAGAUUAGACAAUGGAAGCACUGGGAAGAUUCUAUCUUAAAUAAGGAUUAUGAUCUAGAAGAAGCAAAAGGCUCAAAGUUUACACACGUCCAUGAUCAUGAUUUUAUCAAGAAACGGUUUAAGGGUAUUGGGAAGAACUUCUACUUAAUGGGUUGGGUGAACUGUAAACCACUAUCCAAGUGCUUCACGUUGCCCUUGAAGGCUUGAACCUACCCUUCCAAAUAGUUAACAAUAUAUUACCUUUCUUUACUGUAACAGCAUUCAUUCUUCAAGCAGUUCUAUGUGUCUAUAAACAAAUCUGAUUAUAUCACAUUGCGACUGGGCUUCAUUAUGACUCAUUGCAGGGGAAACCCAAAAUUUAAUUUUCACAAGUACAUGAUGCGUGCUCUUGAAGCUGACUUCAAGAAAGUUGUUGGAAUAAGUUGGUAUCUUUGGAUAUUU